rnacentral:lncRNA from 1 species
AAAAGGUGCAGACAUCCUUUUUUUUAAUGCGCACACAUUGUCAAGCCUCCGGCUUAUUUAUUAGUAUUAAAAACUGAGGACCCCGCGCUAGAGAAGGAGGAUAUAUGUAUACGUAUCUCUUUAUAACUUGACAGUGUAUUCUAACUAGAUAGCAUCCUCAACAAUUCUUCAAAGUUACCAGCUAAUAACUACUACCACCGAAAGGGUUAUCACAGAAAAGAAAAGCAAGCAAGCUGAAAAGAGAUAUAUUAGAUUUAUUAUGUCAACAUCUUUGCGGUUGCAGAGAGCCAGCAACAGCUCGUGAAAAGGUUACUGCUUCCCGUACAAUUUUUAGCCCCAACGCAUUGAAAGCUUCCAGCAGAAAUGGAGGUGCUAGCUUUUCUGCUCUAAUACGCCUUAAUUAUUAUGAAAGGCACAUUCCCACUAGGACCUAAAAUAUACCCCUUAUAAUGAAUUGCCAGAAAUAUGAAAUAUUAUUGAACUGUUCUUGAAGUAACAUAUUUCAAAUGUUAAUCUAAUGCUAGUCUGAGACUCAUUUACUCGAGUUUUUGAAAGAAAAAAAAAAUGAUGAUAAUAUCCAAUGAAUUGUCACAAAUUUAAAGGGAUUAAAAACGUUCGGCCGAAGUCAAUUGCUUACUCAACAUUGUGAGUGAUCCUGCCAGCUAAUUGGGUGAUGAAAUAUGUAACUACAUAAAGAAGAGAAAGCUAAAUAGUAAGAUGAAAUAAGAUUAAGGACUAAAAUGUCAUUCUCUCUAUUUACGCACUCAUUAAGAAAGCAACUUCAAUCUUCCUUCAAGUAAAAUUCUUGCGUCUCUUAUCGCAUAAAUAUAUGUAUAUCUAUUGAUAAAGAAAAUAUCUCAUAUAAACUACAUUAGCUAUUAGGAUAAGAAUGUAACUUUGAGGCAUUCCUCAAUUCAUGAAUUAAUUUUUAAAUAUGAGUUAGACCAUUGAUUUGUAAUUAAAUAUAAUCGAUUUUGAGUAUUAAUGUUUCUAGUUUUCAAUUGGGAUAUUAAUUUACUUAUUUAAUUCCGUAAACAUGAGCAAAUGAUUUCAGAUUUUAAUAUGGUAUCACAGAUUGGAAUGCUAUUUUUCCAGCCAACUUAAUACGUAGAAAGAUACAUUUUCAACAAAAAUGGAUGCAUUAAAAGGACUUCUAAAAAGCUUUUGAAUUGGAAUGCCAACGAAAAAUAGGCCGCAUGUUCAACCAAAUAUCUCAAAAUUUUUUAAUUUCAUUUAAACGUAAUGGUUAAGCAACCCCACCUCCUAAAUUAGUUUUUUAGUAUGAAUUAGGUCAGUGAACCUACUAGUAGGUUCAUACUGCCUUUCUAUGACUUGAUAAAAAAAAUUAUAUGUUAAGAAAAAAAAAUUCCACAUUGGUUGAAAUUGAAUUAAGUAAUGUAUAUAGACUGGUGACAAUCAUCAACUUUUUAAUUAGAUUUGAAUUAGAUUUUGAAUAUGACUUCAAUUUAUGGGCCCCUAUAAAAAAUAAUUAGAGGUUCUAAUGAGUGUUGUAAGUGAGUUGAGGAAAGAGGAGAUUAAACCGAGGUUACCAAACCAUAGAUGGCCUACACACGGCUGUAGAGUGCCAUAGAUCUUAAAAAACAAUAAUAACACUUUUAUUAAUAUUUAAAAAAAUGUGAU